AUAUUAUUAAGCGGAGGAAAAGAAACUAACAAGGAUGCCCUCAGUAACGGCGAGUGAAGCGGGCAAAGCUCAACCUGAAAAUCGGAUAUCCAAGCGGGUGUUCGAAUUGUGGGCUAGAGACGCGUGAUCAGUGUGUGACCCAGGUAUAAAUCUUUUGAAACAAGGUAUCAUAGAGGGUGAGAAUCCCGUCUUUGACCUGGAGUUUCGCCACGUACGAUCCGUGUUCACAGAGUCGAGUUGUUUGGGAUUGCAGCUCUAAAUGGGUGGUGAACUCCAUCUAAAGCUAAAUAUUGGCGAGAGACCGAUAGCGCACAAGUA
rnacentral:rRNA from 1 species